CCUCCACCCCAUCCUACCCCACCUCUACACCAUCCCACCACAGGCCUCGCUGGGCUGGUAGCACUGGCUGGAGCAACAGAACUGCUGCUCCUCCCUUAGCGUACACAGCACAGCACACCCUGACAGGCCAGAGAGAGGUCUUGCCUCAACUCCCCUUCUUCCUUCGAACUCUCUUCAUCUACCACAGAGAAAAAGGACAUAAAUGAGGUUGGGUGGCCCAGGGAGGAGGGGCAUGGCUUUUUGGGACCAGUGCCCCUUCUGUGUUCUGGCUGCUUCUCUCCUCCACCUGGGGGUGUCAGGGCCUGGCUUGUCAGGCCGGCCUGCCACACAGACUUCUGGGAUACCCCCUCCCUUAGUCCUGGAAACAGAGAAAGAAGAGAAGACAGCAAUUUCCUUCAUGCUGGGGAAAAGGGAAAUUGAGUCAUGAAGAGAGGAAUGCCUUUCUUCUAAAGCCUGAGAAAACAGGGAGAUGAUUCCUGCCUUCUUGCUAGGGUUAGAGAGUCUAUUCCUACCCCAGGAUGCCUCCUCCCCGCCCCGGUCUAGGGGUGGGAUUGGACUUUCUGUCCUCUAACUGAGCAGCUCUUUCCUUGACACUCUAGCUUGCUGCUAUUGCUUGCAGCAGGCAGGGCUGGUGUUAUUGGCUUUCUUUUGCAGAUGAGAGUAUUCCGGCCUGGAGCCACACUGCUAGUGAAUGCCUUCAAGCUGGUAUUUAACUCUACUGUCAAAUACUGUGCCCUUUCUGUGACACCUUGAGAGAAAAUCGGCAGAUCCCAGAGUAGGGGGGAUAAAAAAUGCAAAAAGUAAAAGGGGAGGCUUCAUGGUGUGCACAGGCAUACAUCACAUGCUCCCCCCAGGCAAGAGGGGAGUUGGGAGCCCCUGCUCCAUGCUGCCGUCUAUGGGGUCGCAUAGAGUCGGACACGACUGAAGCAAUUUAGCAGCAGCAGCAGCUCCAUGACUGGUCCUUAUGCCAGGUGGACAUCUUGGACGCCUGGGAGCUGGAGAGAGGUGAGAUGCUUAGGGUGCAGGGCCAGGCAUCCACUUUGCUUCUCUGCCAUCUGAGCCCACUGGCUUUUCCUAGAGACAAAUCUCCCUGCCCAUACCUUUCCCCAGGUAGAUUCUGCUGCAAAGCUUCUGGUCACUGCUUUGCCCAGGCUGAGGACAGUGCAGUCCUCAGCCUGGACUUCAUUCUGCCUUUAUUUUCCUGUCUUUCAUAUAAAAGGACCCCGUAAAGCAGCCCUAAACAUUGUCCCCUAAAGGUGUUUUUCCUGUCUCCAUUCCCUGGCCUCAGCAAC
ensembl:lncRNA